rnacentral:tRNA from 2 species
GGUCCGAUGGCGGAGUGGUUACGCAACGGUCUGCAAAACCGUGUACGCCGGUUCAAUUCCGGCUCGGACCU